rnacentral:rRNA from 1 species
ACAAGUACCCGUGAGGGAAAGUUGCAAAGAACUUUGAAGAGAGAGUUCAAGAGGGCGUGAAACCGCUUAGAAGCAAACAGAUGGACCUGACGGAGAGUCGGUGGAAUUCAGCUUACCGCGCUACCUCGCCCUGGUGCCUGAUUGAACCACAGGUUUCUGGGUGUCGGUGUGGCCGGUGAGUGCAUUUUCUGCUGAUGCGCGCUGGAACCCGCGUCGGUGCUGGAUCUAGGGUUGCGAUUGCCGGCCAGCCUUGCUGGUGUCCCUUCGCUUCCUUCAACCGGGUCGCCGGUACGGGAACUAGUAGACGUCCGCCUCUACGCAACUGUGUGGGAAGCUGUGCCAAUCGGACUGUAGUUUUGUGCUUGCACGACUCUGCGAUGCUUGGUGCUGUGUACUGCGCUGUUUGCGUUGGCGUCUGAUUCCGGUGUUUUUGUCAGUCACCCAUCUGACCCGUCUUGAAACACGGACCAAGGAGUCUAACAUGUGCGCGAGUCACUGGGUCGCUAAACCCAAGGGCGCAAUGAAAGUAAAGUCUAGUUCGGCUGGCUGACAUGGGACCCUUCGGUUUUCCGGGGGUGCACCAUGGUCCCGUCCAUACUGCAUUGUCAGUAGGGCGGAGAUUGAGCGUACACGUUGGGACCCGAAAGAUGGUGAACUAUGCCUGAGCAGGAUGAAGCCAGAGGAAACUCUGGUGGAGGUCCAUAGCGAUUCUGACGUGCAAAUCGAUCGUCGGACUUGGGUAUAGGGGCGAAAGACUAAUCGAACCAUCUAGUAGCUGG